CUCUUAUCAAGAGUGGUGGAGGGACUGGCCCGAUGAAACCCGGCAACCGGCAUAUAUUAUGCGUUUGGUGCCAAAUCCUGCAGGGAAACCUGAGAGAUGAGAG
rnacentral:ncRNA from 2 species